GUCAAGGUUUUCUUAUCAACACUUCUAAUAUUUUGCUCCACUCUGUUCUUGCUGGCAUGGUUUCUGAAGGGAAGUUGGAUAUAAUUUUUAUCAUACUUCUCUCUAGGUGUGUGCCCUGUGGAGACAGCAGAGAGUUUUGCUGAUUUGUCAGUGAGGUACUCUCUCAGUGCUGGGGCAGCACUGGGCACUUCGCUGGCAGUCAUGAGAUACUUGUUGAACGCAUGAAUUGAAGGCAUCGGGUGGAACUGGGGAGACAGGCCAAGGGCAAGUUCCUGGUGGCAGAGCCAGCAUCGCAGGCAAGCAGAUGGAUCGACGUGGGGCCUGACUCAGAGAACUGACAUGAUCUGUCCCAGGUCACAGCGAGUUAGAGGCAGGG